GCGGGAAUAGCUCAGUUGGGUAGAGCACGACCUUGCCAAGGUCGGGGUCGCGAGUUCGAGUCUCGUUUCCCGCUCCA
rnacentral:tRNA from 1 species